GCUAGCUAUGGGGCAGGAGCUGGAGGUAUGCUGGGUGGGCUAGCGGUGUUCGGGAUUAUGGGGGGUAAGGCGCUGGUAGGCGGCGUGUUAAGUGCCGAGUUAAAUCCCCAGGCGUGACUGGGGAAGUGCGCGGAAAACCGGCGGGGUUGAAUGCCGGAGAGGGGCGCGGAAUUCCCGGUGUAGAGGUGAAAUUCGUAGAUAGCGGGAGGAACACCAGUGGCGAAGGCGGCGACCUGGACGGACAUUGACGCUGAGACGCGAAAGCGUGGGGAGCAAACAGGAUUAGAUACCCCUGUAGUC
rnacentral:rRNA from 1 species